UGGGCACUCUAUGGAAACUGCCCGUGAUAAGCGGGAGGAAGGUGUGGAUGACGUCAAGUCCUCAUGGCCCUUACGGGUUGGGCUACACACGUGCUACAAUGGUGGUGACAAUGGGUUAAUCCCAAAAAGCCAUCUCAGUUCGGAUUGGGGUCUGCAACUCGACCCCAUGAAGUCGGAAUCGCUAGUAAUCGCGUAACAGCAUGACGCGGUGAAUACGUUCCCGGGCCUUGUACACACCGCCCGU
rnacentral:rRNA from 1 species